UAGUCCCAUACAGACCGCCAUUGCCCCUCGUUGUCAAAGCGGAGGGAGCCGAAAAGGUCAGGAGACGUUGUGCGCAUGCGCCCUCCCUUAACCCAGACGGAGUGUCGCAUGGAUCAAACCUGAGCGUACGGACGAUAUUCACACACUCCGGAGCUGGGAGGAGAAGGAGAAAGGUGUGUAGCUGAGACAUCCUGAUAAUCCAUCCAUCAAGCAACAGGCCUUUGAGGAUCAACUGGCUGUGGGUGAGAGGAAAUCUCUAGUCUUCUGGUGGAUAGUUAGCUGGAGAGCAGACCUCUACUUUGCUGAGACCAUCUGAGAACACCACAACUUGGAUUCCUGAUAUCUUACCAACCAUUGACUGUGUGUGUGAAAUUCUGGGUUUGCUGGGGAAUUUAGUCUUAAUAGUCUUUAGUUAGAUAGUUAGAGUAAGCUUAAUUAGAGAAGUAAAUAUAGUGGAUAAAAGUCAGACGCAAAAAGCCCUUUCCCUAUUCCAUUCCCAAACCCUUUCCCUUACCUGUUAAUAAAUUCAAUUUUAUUUA